rnacentral:rRNA from 1 species
UACGAGGGGGGCGAGCGUUGUUCGGAAUUAUUGGGCGUAAAGGGUGCGUAGGCGGUUCCGCAAGUCCUGUGUGAAAUCUUCGGGCUCAACUCGAAGUCUGCACGGGAAACUGCGGGGCUUGAGUGUGGGAGAGGUGAGUGGAAUUCCCGGUGUAGCGGUGAAAUGCGUAGAUAUUGGGAAGAACACCGGUGGCGAAGGCGGCGACCUGGUCCGUGACUGACGCUGAGGCGCGAAAGCGUGGGGAGCAAACAGG